rnacentral:rRNA from 1 species
GGAGUUAGCCGGUGCUUCUUCUGCGAGUAACGUCACAGCUAGCAGGUAUUAACUACUAACCUUUCCUCCUCGCUGAAAGUGCUUUACAACCCGAAGGCCUUCUUCACACACGCGGCAUGGCUGCAUCAGGGUUUCCCCCAUUGUGCAAUAUUCCCCACUGCUGCCUCCCGUAGGAGUCUGGGCCGUGUCUCAGUCCCAGUGUGGCUGAUCAUCCUCUCAGACCAGCUAGGGAUCGUUGCCUAGGUGAGCCAUUACCUCACCUACUAGCUAAUCCCACCUGGGCUUAUCCAUCAGCGCAAGGACCGAAGUUCCCCUGCUUUCCCCCGUAGGGCGUAUGCGGUAUUAGCAGUCGUUUCCAACUGUUAUCCCCCACAAAUGGGCAAAUUCCCAGGCAUUACUCACCCGUCCGCCGCUCGUCAUCUUCAAAAGCAAGCUUUUGAAAUGUUACCGCUCGACUUGCAUGUGUUAGGCCUGCCGCCAGCGUUCAAUCUGAACCAGAUCAAACUCUGA